rnacentral:rRNA from 1 species
AUACGUAGGUGGCAAGCGUUGUCCGGAUUUAUUGGGCGUAAAGCGAGCGCAGGCGGUUUCUUAAGUCUGAUGUGAAAGCCCCCGGCUCAACCGGGGAGGGUCAUUGGAAACUGGGAGACUUGAGUGCAGAAGAGGAGAGUGGAAUUCCAUGUGUAGCGGUGAAAUGCGUAGAUAUAUGGAGGAACACCAGUGGCGAAGGCGACUCUCUGGUCUGUAACUGACGCUGAGGCUCGAAAGCGUGGGGAGCAAACAGGAUUAGAUACCCUGGUAGUCCACGCCGUAAACGAUGAGUGCUAAGUGUUGGAGGGUUUCCGCCCUUCAGUGCUGCAGCUAACGCAUUAAGCACUCCGCCUGGGGGGUACGACCGCAAGGUUGAAACUCAAAUGAAUUGACGGGG